rnacentral:lncRNA from 1 species
GAGGAGAUCUAAGCAGCGUUCCCACAGCCCCCUCUAGAUUCUUGGAGUUCCGCAGAGCUUACUAUACGCGGUCUGUCCUAAUCUUUGUGGUGUUCGCUAUCUCUUGUGUCAAAUCUGGUGAACGCUACGCUUACAUAUAUUGUCUUUGUGCUGCUGUGUGACAAACGCAAUGCAAAAACAAUCCUCUUUCUCUCUCUUAAUGCAUGAUACAGAAUAAUAAUAAGAAUUUCAUCUUUAAAUGAGUAAGAGAAAUAA